CUUGGCUGUGGGCCUCCCUUCUUCCCAGCUCUGCAGGGUCUGUGAGACACCGGGGGAGGGCGAGUGGCAUCCUCCAUUUCCUCUUCACCGAAGCUGGUGGAAGGGUGUGUCUCCGGCCUCUGGGGCUCCCUGUGGGCAACAGUGGGAUUGGAUCAUGGCAGAGGGCCUGGGGGGCCUGCCUCCCACCGGACACUGGAAGCAGCUCCUUGGCCUCCCUCCUCCCACCCUCUCCCAAGUCCCAGCUGUGUCUGACUCAUUGGCCCCUCAUCCCACCCCUUUACCACCUGACACAGCUGACAGAUGGAUCCCCCACCCCCCAACCCUGGGGCAUGGGCAACUGGACUAACCGGUAUUUCUAGACUCAGAGUCAAUGCAGGGGUGGAUACUACCCUGGCACUGAGCUAGGAUUUCACCUCUACCCACUUUGGUGAUCCUUGUCGGACUCUGAAGUGCCGUGUAUUGACUCCACGUCGCACUCGAGGAAACUGGGGUGCAGAGGGUUGAAGCUACUGGCCCAGGAUGAAGAGCUGAGCUGGUGCUUCUCUACACGCCACCCAAGAGCCCCACGCCGGCCUUCACCACCCCCCUCCUCUGUGUUACAUGAUCCUCACCCUGCGGAGGCUGCAGGAGGAGUGUUGGCAAGUGUGGCAUCUCCGGGGAGUGGGGGCAGAAUCCAAGGCUUUCCCAGCCACUGAAGAGGGGCAUCUCCAUCUGUGCCCGUGUCCCUGUGAUGCCACCAGCUCUGUCUGCGACAGGAGCUGCCAAGGGAGGAGAAACCUUCUGUCAUCGUCCUGGGGCAAGGAACAGCCCUCCUGCCACACUCACUGCCUGGAAACCCUUCUCCUGCUUCACAGAAACAGGACCCAGUCUUGCUUGAAGCUGUCCACCCCCGCCAGGCCACAAAAAGCCUCAAAUGUCACAGGGCCACCAACUGCCACAAAGCCUCCGCUGCUCAGAGCGUGGGAGCCCCGAGAAUCAGAAGCCGCUCAGGGGUUCACUGUCAGAGUGUUUGUCCUCCGACUCGCGCACCGGCCCCGUAUGUGGUCCUGCUGCCCUCUGGCCCUUUGGAGCCCAUGAACUGGGGCAAGAAGAUGGAGGAGCUGUCACGGCCCAGGGCUGAGCGAGGACACAGCAGCGCCGGCCUGUCCCACACUCCCUGCCACCCCCCAGGGCCCAGGGAAAUGCCUCUGAUGUGGGCAGUGCUGCCAGCCACAGCGAGCCACCUGGAUUCAUGCCCAGCUGGGGACAGGAGCCUGCAUCACCCCAGUCGUCCUGGCCACCCAGGUCAAGCAACUGAGAUGUGGGUAUUUUAAAAUCAGAAUGGGAUACAUUCCAAACCCGGAGUCUGUCUCAGGAGAGAGUAUUGGCACUGGACACGGAGGCCAAAGGAUCUUUGAACCUACUCUGCAAUGUUCUCUUUUUUCUUCCCCCAAGGAAAAUGUAUUCAUGGACUACUUAGGUAAUAAAAAUUAUAAAAAACCUUAAAGAACUUACUGU
rnacentral:lncRNA from 1 species